rnacentral:rRNA from 1 species
UACGGAGGGGGCUAGCGUUGUUCGGAAUUACUGGGCGUAAAGCGCACGUAGGCGGCUUUGCAAGUCAGAGGUGAAAGCCCGGGGCUCAACCCCGGAAUUGCCUUUGAGACUGCAUCGCUAGAAUUGUGGAGAGGUAAGUGGAAUUCCGAGUGCAGAGGUGAAAUUCGUAGAUAUUCGGAAGAACACCAGUGGCGAAGGCGACUUACUGGACACAUAUUGACGCUGAGGUGCGAAAGCGUGGGGAGCAAACAGG